rnacentral:sRNA from 1 species
UUUCUCCGGUCGCUGCUGCCACCACCGUUGCUUCGCGGGCUGGGAGGCCCGGGGUCCCCGGGCGAACAGAGGCUGCGGUGGACUGACGCCGCAGGGGCGAGCUAGCCGGCUCCGCGCCUCUCCGCGGGAUCCAGACGCCUCCUGGGGCUGCCGGCGGAGGGUCUGAGGCGGCGCGGCCAUGGCUCACCUCCGGGGAUUUGCCAACCAGCACUCUCGAGUGGACCCUGAAGAGCUCUUCACCAAGCUUGACCGCAUUGGCAAGGGCUCCUUUGGGGAAGUCUACAAGGGCAUUGAUAACCACACGAAGGAGGUGGUGGCCAUCAAGAUCAUCGACCUGGAGGAGGCCGAGGAUGAGAUCGAGGACAUCCAGCAGGAGAUCACCGUCCUCAGCCAGUGCGACAGCCCCUACAUCACCCGCUACUUUGGCUCCUACCUAAAGGGUUCUUGGCAGGGAUGGGACCGGUGGGGCCUGUGCCU